AACCAAAGGCAAGUGCUGCCAGCUAAGUAAGAAACCCAAGAAGGAAAGCAAAAAGAAACGAUAAGGGUUUGACCGACAAGCCUCAAAAGACAAAAGAAUCACCUGUAAUGCUUCCUCGGAGAUUGUACCAAAGGCAUCCGAGUUCCCUAAAGGUGGGCUCUGUUGCAUUCUUCUAACAGAAGCACAACUACUGAAAGAGUAAUGCACGCAUUACCCAAAAUACAGGAGUGCUUCCACAGCCAAAAACUGAUUAGCCAUGACCCU
rnacentral:lncRNA from 1 species